AUUUGAUGAAAAACUUGGAGACUCCCGGGAAAACCGGGAGAGUUGGCAGGGCUGCAUUUUUUAUCAAUUUACAGUCAUCACCGAUCAGGCUGCAGGUCAUGAUCAAGUCACAGGCCAGGUCACGGAACUGUGCGGUGACUACUCAGUACUGGCUGGUUUUGCGUACGCAAAUGACGCAUAUUUUACUAAGUCUGUUUUUGAGUGACCUGUACGUAUGACCUGUGGAAUGUGGCCUGCAAAAAGUCUGAAACUUGAAUGUUUCCCAGGACAACCCCCCGAUGAUCAAAUUCCGAUCCCCCAGGGCAAAGAUGAUGUUUAAAUACCUAUCUUAGGGUUAUCCGGAGACCCAAGGUCAGUCAGUGAGUGCAACUGUUGAGGGCUUCAUGAGGUAUAAUUCCUCUCAAAUAUGCACUCGACACUCAAGAAACGUUUUGGUUACAAUAAUUAUUUGUAAACAAAACUUUUUUCAAGCAAAAUGUGGGCAAAUAACUAAGAAAGAUAUAGCAGUUGAAAGGACCUUUGUGAAGGCUUCAUAUUGGAACAUACACAAAAAAAAACUGGAGACCUGAUGGAUGUGUACCAAUUGGGUAGAAUAAUGCAAAUGAUUUUUUCUGUCCUCUCAGGAGGCAGCUUUGUAGAGCCAUUUGGAACUGACCUAGUAAGACUCUAUCCCCAGGGGCUCCUUGCCUUCUCUCCAAUUUCUUUGCCAAUGUUUUUUCCUGCUAGUUAAGUUUCUGUCUCCCUCAUUGACUGGCCCUCACUGGGUCUCCACGGAUAAUUGCUUGUUUUCAGCUGAAGGAUUUUAAGCAUGGAGAGGUAAUUGAAAGUUAUAGAAAAGUUAUUGCAAUAACCUGUUAAGAGACAACUUUUUGCAAAGUUUAAAAAAGUCUAUAGUUCAGAUUCAAAGCCAUCUCGAAUUUUUGAAAACUGGUACAGACUGGUUUAUGGGCUCUGCUAUGAACUCUUCACAACACCCACACCCAACAUGGUAAUUCAAUCCCUGUCAAUAUGUAAUCAGUAAUUGUGAUAAUCUUAUCUCGUCUUUAAGGAUGUCCGUGAGGAGAUAGAAUUUCAAGUCAGUCGUAUUUGCAAUGCAUGUAAUGUUAGCCCUUCAUUAAAAGACAUGGAACACAUAAUGAAAAUGAUCAUGGAGACAGGUGAAGCAUGUGAAGGUGUCAUGAAGGUUGUAUGCUAUUGCUCCGUGGGUUACCGAUCAAGUUAUCUUGCUCAGCGUUUACUAUGUGAACUGGACAAACCUGUUUAUCAAGAAAUGAAAUCCAAGGUUAUGGUAUACAAUUUGGAAGGUUCAAUCUUUAAAUGGGCAAAUGAAGGAAAAGAGCUUGAAGAUAACAAAGGACUAAAGACUCUUGUAGUACAUCCUUAUAAUGUUGUAUGGGGAAAGCUACUGAAUGCCGAGCUGAGAUGCUCAGAACCAAGGGAAUCAAGUGAGAAUGAAAGGGAAAGGCAGCCGAAACUCUGAUGGCAUCAAAUGAUAUUGACUUACAGAGCCAUGCAUAAAGAUGAAAAAGAAUUCCAACAACAAAUUGGCUUCAGAAUGUUCUUAACUGAGUUUCAGCGCUGUUCAGAUGUUUAUAGUCCCGGCUUAUAAGUGAAAUCCUCCCACAAGCCACUGCUUUCUUCCUGUCCUGUUGCCUGGGUCGUCGAGCCAUGUGGCGCGCAAACAAGACAAGCAAAAUCGCCGCAGAUUCAAAACCCUGGACUUGAACAUGGAAAUCAUAUAAUGUGAUUAUAGUCUGCGUAUGAGCGGAAAGGCUAGACUCCUGGUAGCCAAUCUUUUCUCUCAGGGAUAGACGCGGGUGUUUAUCCAUGAACACGAACGCAAAAGGGUGGUAUGGACGAUUAGGGGUUGAGGCCAUGUCUCGUCCCAAUCCCUUCGCGUCUGAAAUGUCUCCCCCAACCUCAUUCCCAGGGCAUUUCCCUUUGAAAUUGAGAAAAGCCCUGGGAACGAGGUUGAUAAUGCCCGCCUCAUUUCGAGAAAGAAACAGACUGUCAGCAGUCUACGAAAAGGCCCGAACAGCCACCGUUAAACUUUUAUCGCGAGGGAAGACCAUCAAAAAGUCAAAGCCCAGAGGACUGAUGACAGAAUAUUGUCACUGACUUGAAAUCUAAAUAUAAUGUGCUAGUUUUGUUAAAAAUUACUGUUUAAGUGUACUGAAGCUAUCAAAGGCUAGGUAGGCAUGUACAAAGUUGUGAUGUUAAACUGACAAAGUCUGACAGACGUACGUUUCCAAAUUUUGUCGUCGUGCCUUAGAAAAAUUGCUCAAAACCAAUGAGAAUUUGCCCUCAAACAAUUAUAUGAAUUUCAUAGAUUCUUUUUCAAUUUACUCUCCUCUAGUCAACUUACUUGUAUUGUCUUCUUGGUGUCCUAGGAUUUAUUAUGUUUGAUGCACAAGCGAAGGUACUCAGAAAAACAGUUACUUUGUUCUAGGAUUUACAGUAAGCUGGCUAAAAGGCUGUCCAAGCUCAUUCUAGCUCUCAUCUAAAUCUGGGGGUCUAACUUUAAGAGUCUGAACGUCUGGCGCUCGCACUUUAAACACUUUGAAUUCUCGGUCUCACUAUCUAAAAGGUCAUAAUGUCUCGGGCUUGAAGAGUCGCAGAGAAAAACGCUUGUCUCGCUAAGUCUCGCAUUUACCAUUCGCCACCCCUACAUAUAGCGUGGGGAAUGUCACGUAUUUUUUAAAUGCGGAAUCCUUUUUUGGUUCAAAAAGCAGUUUUACUUAAUUUUCUUUUCAACAAAAAAGUUAAUAAUUAAAGUUCCGGUUUGCUACAGCUUGUUGUUCCAGCUUUGGUUAAAUAUCGACACUUUAAAAUAAAUGAAGACAACAAAA